rnacentral:rRNA from 1 species
AUUGAACGCUGGCGGCAGGCCUAACACAUGCAAGUCGGACGGUAGCACAGAGAGCUUGCUCUNGGGUGACGAGUGGCGGACGGGUGAGUAAUGUCUGGGGAUCUGCCCGAUAGAGGGGGAUAACCACUGGAAACGGUGGCUAAUACCGCAUAACGUCGCAAGACCAAAGAGGGGGACCUUCGGGCCUCUCACUAUCGGAUGAACCCAGAUGGGAUUAGCUAGUAGGCGGGGUAAUGGCCCACCUAGGCGACGAUCCCUAGCUGGUCUGAGAGGAUGACCAGCCACACUGGAACUGAGACACGGUCCAGACUCCUACGGGAGGCAGCAGUGGGGAAUAUUGCACAAUGGGCGCAAGCCUGAUGCAGCCAUGCCGCGUGUAUGAAGAAGGCCUUCGGGUUGUAAAGUACUUUCAGCGGGGAGGAAGGCGA